CUUGAAUUAUCAAUAGGAUAUCGGAGUAAAAAUCUUGUUCCAUUUGGAUUUGGCUUCUACUUGUUAAUUUGUUGGGUUUUACAUAACUCAAUCCAUAAAUGCGGGGAAGUGCUAAAACUUUAUCCCACAUCGAAUUACUAAGUGGCAUGCAAGUAAAUAUAUGUGUUCUCUCACACAACCAACACAUUUUUCUUAGCCUAAGAACCAAUAGUGAUGGCUAAAAAAAAUACAAAGUCAUGUGUGUUGUUGAUCUAAAACGAAUAAUAUUUGACUUGUGGUGUUUCAAACCAAUUUUUCCAACAUACUAUAUUACGACGACUAAAAUGGCAUUUAGUAGCAUAUGGCGGCCCCAAUACCAAGCCAUAACAAUACAAACCCGCCGUACAUCACAUACUGUAGACUUGGUGACUUACCAACAAAAACUGUAGAUAUGGUGGCCAGCUUUCCAGGUAUUGGCUUCAGAAACAACAUGACACACACAAUAGAAU